UACGGGGGGGGCAAGCGUUGUUCGGAAUUACUGGGCGUAAAGGGCUCGUAGGCGGCCAACUAAGUCAGACGUGAAAUCCCUCGGCUUAACCGGGGAACUGCGUCUGAUACUGGAUGGCUUGAGUGUGGGAGAGGGAUGCGGAAUUCCAGGUGUAGCGGUGAAAUGCGUAGAUAUCUGGAGGAACACCGGUGGCGAAGGCGGCAUCCUGGACCAUUACUGACGCUGAGGUGCGAAAGCGUGGGGAGCAAACAGG
rnacentral:rRNA from 1 species